rnacentral:rRNA from 1 species
UACGGAGGGUGCAAGCGUUAUCCGGAUUCACUGGGUUUAAAGGGUGCGUAGGAGGGCAGGUAAGUCAGUGGUGAAAUCUCCAAGCUUAACUUGGAACUGCCGUUGAUACUAUCUGUCUUGAAUAUUGUGGAGGUGAGCGGAAUAUGUCAUGUAGCGGUGAAAUGACUUAGAUAUGACAUAGAACACCAAUUGCGAAGGCAGCUAACUACGGGGAUAUUGACACUGAGGCACGAAAGCGUGGGGAUCAAACAGG